AACGAACGCUGGCGGCAUGCCUAACACAUGCAAGUCGAACGAGACCUUCGGGUCUAGUGGCGCACGGGUGCGUAACGCGUGGGAACCUGCCCUUAGGUUCGGAAUAACUCCCCGAAAGGGGUGCUAAUACCGGAUAAUGUCUUCGGACCAAAGAUUUAUCGCCUUUGGAUGGGCCCGCGUUGGAUUAGCUAGUUGGUAGGGUAAAAGCCUACCAAGGCGACGAUCCAUAGCUGGUCUGAGAGGAUGAUCAGCCACACUGGGACUGAGACACGGCCCAGACUCUUACGGGAGGCAGCAGUGGGGAAUAUUGGACAAUGGGCUAAAGCCUGAUCCAGCAAUGCCGCGUGAGUGAUGAAGGCCUUAGGGUUGUAAAGCUCUUUUACCCGGGAUGAUAAUGACAGUACCGGGAGAAUAAGCUCCGGCUAACUCCGUG
rnacentral:rRNA from 1 species